rnacentral:rRNA from 1 species
CCAUGACCCUUCGGGGAAGUGGAUAAUGGUUCCAAACAGACUCCCAAGAAAAACCUCUAAGGUAAAGGUUAUUGCAAUCCGUACCGUAAACCGACACAGGUAGUCAAGAAGAGAAUUCUACGGCGCUCGAGUGAUCCGUGGCUAAGGAACUCGGCAAAAUAGUCCUGUAACUUCGGGAGAAAGGACGCCCGCCUCAGGCGGGCCGCAGUGAAUAGACCCAGGCGACUGUUUAACAAAAACACAGGGCUCUGCAAAAUCGAAAGAUGAAGUAUAGGGCCUGACACCUGCCCGGUGCCGGAAGGUUAAGGAAGUUUGUUAGUACUUCGGUGCGAAGCUUGCGACUGAAGCCCCGGUAAACGGCGGCCGUAACAAUAACGGUCCUAAGGUAGCGAAAUUCCUUGUCGGGUAAGUUCCGACCUGCACGAAUGGUGUAACGAUCUGGGUACUGUCUCGGCCACGAGCUCGGUGAAAUUGUAGUAUCGGUGAAGAUGCCGGUUACCCGCAAUGGGACGGAAAGACCCCGUGAACCUUCACUACAACUUAACAUUGACUUUGGGUAAAUGAUGUGUAGGAUAGGUGGAAGACUUCGAAGCGGGAACGCUAGUUCCCGUGGAGUCGCCCUUGAAAUACCACCCUUCAUUUAUCUAGAGCCUAAUCCGUAUAACGGAGACAUUGUUUGGUGGGUAGUUUGACUGGGGUGGUCGCCUCCUAAAGAGUAACGGAGGCUUCCAAAGGUACCCUCAGCACGGUUGGUAAUCGUGCGUAGCGUAUAAUGGCAUAAGGGUGCUUGACUGCAAGACCUACAAGUCGAGCAGGGACGAAAGUCGGGCAUAGUGAUCCGGUGGUUCCGUAUGGAAGGGCCAUCGCUUACAGGAUAAAAGGUACUCCGGAUAACAGGCUGAUCUCCCCCAAGAGCUCACAUCGACGGGGAGGUUUGGCACCUCGAUGUAGGCUCGUCACAUCCUGGGGCUGGAGAAGGUCCCAAGGGUUGGGCUGUUCGCCCAUUAAAGUGGCACGCGAGCUGGGUUCAGAACGUCGCAAGACAGUUCGGUCCCUAUCUAUUGCGGGCGUUAGAAGUUUGAGGAGAUCUGACUCUAGUACGAGAGGACCGAGUCGGACGAACCUCUGGUGUACCUGUUGUGGCGCCAGCUGCACCGCAGGGUAGCUAUGUUCGGAAGGGAUAAGCGCUGAAAGCAUCUAAGCGCGAAGCCCACUCCAAGACG